rnacentral:pre_miRNA from 1 species
UUGGUAUCACUGAAUGUGCCACUUGAGACGAAAAUUGUUAGACUUGCUAUGAUGGUGUAAUUUGCGACUUACUCUGUGAUCAGUGACAGA